CCGCGCUCAUGUCUUCUAUACAAGGCGCCGUACCCUUUGUUAGUACAUUGAUGGCUUUAAAAUCACCUGGAUGUCCCCCGAGAGGUCCAACGGUGCACCCUCUUUGCCGGAUGUGAGCGAUAUGAAGAAGGAAGGUGGCAGGUGGCUUGUUCUAUUAACACGUUGUUUAUCAUGCAUGAAACUCUGAUCUACAGACCUAUCGAACUGUGCGUUACUGCUACACGUAAAGUAGCCCCCAUGCAGUUGAGGUUUUUGUGCUUCUAAUCGCUAUCACUGCUAUCCUCAUUAUAUGCUCUUGCCCUUGUCGGCCCUUCAUCAUCGCUCGAACUCUCGUCAUCACUCGCAUCAUCUACAUCGCUGCUUUCUUCACUGUCAUACUCGCCACCAUGCACCUUGGAUGGUUUGACAUUUUCUCCCCUCAUCAUCGCCAUCUGCCCCGCAAGCGUAUCUUCAUCUGGCUCCGAAAUGUCGUCACCCGCAUCAGAAUCUGAUUCCGAGGGAGGCUCCUCUACCU
rnacentral:sRNA from 1 species